CACCACGUUACCUGCCGGUUUGACCUGCUGUAGAUCCUUGAACAUGGAGGACAUAAUCAAGAAUUUUGUUGAAGCCAAUUAUAGGAUGGUACAGUUCUGACUGCAUUAAGAAACACUACAAGUCACAGUGUCUCACCAUCAUGGCCUCCUGAGCUGUAAGAUGGGGCAGCAGUUUAUCUUCCUGCAUGAUGUAACAUGACAUUUUGCGAAAGGUGUGAAGAUCUCUGGGCUUUCCAUUUACCAGGAUUCGUCCUGUCAUCCCUGUUUCUCUACCACACAUUUGCAUGCCAGCACAGAAAGCCAGCCAGGAUGUUCAUCAGAGUGGACUUUCCAGCCCCUGAGGGGCCCAUGAUCCCAAUCAACUCCCGGCUCCAGAACCUUCCAGAGAGGCACUUGAGUAAGGCCCUGUAACCUGAAAUGAAACAGAGUAGAAGCCCA